AUUGAACGCUAGCGGCAUGCUUUACACAUGCAAGUCGAACGGCAGCGGGGAGUAGCUUGCUACUCUGCCGGCGAGUGGCGAACGGGUGAGUAACGCAUCGGGACGUGCCCAGUAGUGGGGGAUAACUUAGCGAAAGCUAGGCUAAUACCGCAUACGCACUGAGGUGGAAAGCGGGGGAUCGCAAGACCUCGCGCUAUUGGAGCGACCGAUGUCCGAUUAGCUAGUUGGUGGGGUAAAGGCCUACCAAGGCGACGAUCGGUAGCUGGCCUGAGAGGACGACCAGCCACACUGGAGCUUAGACACGGCCCAGACUGCGACGGAAGGCAGCAGUGGGGAAUUUUGGACAAUGGGCGAAAGCCUGAUCCAGCCAUGCCGCGUGAGUGAAGAAGGCCUUCGGGUUGUAAAGCUCUUUUGGCGGGGAAGAAAUGGCUCUGGUUAAUACCUGGGGUCGAUGACGGUACCGGAAGAAUAAGGACCGGCUAACUACGUGCCAGCAGCCGCCGUAA
rnacentral:rRNA from 1 species